rnacentral:rRNA from 1 species
GUGAGGAAUAUUGGUCAAUGGGCGGGAGCCUGAACCAGCCAAGUCGCGUGAAGGAAGAAGGAUCUAUGGUUCGUAAACUUCUUUUGCAGGGGAAUAAAGUGCAGGACGUGUCCUGUUUUGUAUGUACCCUGAGAAUAAGGAUCGGCUAACUCCGUGCCAGCAGCCGCGGUAAUACGGAGGAUCCGAGCGUUAUCCGGAUUUAUUGGGUUUAAAGGGUGCGUAGGUGGUUUGAUAAGUCAGGGGUGAAAGUUUGCAGCUUAACUGUAAAAAUGCCGUUGAAACUGUCGGACUUGAGUGUAAAUGAGGUAGGCGGAAUGCGUGGUGUAGCGGUGAAAUGCAUAGAUAUCACGCAGAACUCCGAUUGCGAAGGCAGCUUACUAAGCUACAACUGACACUGAAGCACGAAAGCGUGGGGAUCAAACAGGAUUAGAAACCCGUGUAGUCC